rnacentral:rRNA from 1 species
UUGGAGGGCAAGUCUGGUGCCAGCAGCCGCGGUAAUUCCAGCUCCAAUAGCGUAUAUUAAAGUUGUUGCAGUUAAAAAGCUCGUAGUUGAAUUUCGGGAUCAAAUUGUCGGUCGUGCCUCGGUACGCACUGGUAUUAUUGGUUCCUACCUUCUGAAGAACCGCGAUGUCAUUAAUUUGGUGUCGUGGGGAAUCAGGACUGUUACUUUGAAAAAAUUAGAGUGUUUAAAGCAGGCUUACGCUUGAAUACAUUAGCAUGGAAUAGUGAAAUAGGACGUUUGAUUCUAUUUUGUUGGUUUCUAGGAUUGACGUAAUGAUUAAUAGGGAUAGUUGGGGGCAUUAGUAUUCAAUUGUCAGAGGUGAAAUUCUUGGAUUUAUUGAAGACUAACUACUGCGAAAGCAUUUGCCAAGGAUGUUUUCAUUAAUCAAGAACGAAAGUUAGGGGAUCGAAGACGAUCGGAUACUGUCGUAGUCUUAACCAUAAACUAUGCCGACUAGGGAUCGGAUGAUGUUAAUUUUUUAAUGACUCAUUCGGCGCCUUACGGGAAAC